rnacentral:precursor_RNA from 14 species
CCCCGCUCCCACCUCGCAAAGGUCACAAUCAACAUUCAUUGUUGUCGGUGGGUUGUGAGGACACAGGCCAGACCCACGGGCAGGUGAAUGUCAUUGUGGCUGGGCCAGACAGCCUGAGGGGGU